ensembl:lncRNA
CCUUUUCUCCACAUUCUCUUCAGUAUUUAUUGUUUGUAGAUUAAAAUCUCCCUUUUUAAGGUAUAUAAUGUGGUUGAUAUACAUCAAAUUCCCUGGUGGCUCAGAUGGUAAAGAAUCUGCAUGCAACACAGGAGACCCAGGUUCAAUCCCUGGGUCAGGAAGAUUCCUUGGAGAAGGGAAUGGCAACCCACUCUAGUAUUCUUGCCUGGAGAACUCUGUGGACAGAAGAGCCUGGUGGGCUACAGUCUGUGGGGUCUCAGAGAGUUGCACAUGACUGAGUGGAUACCACACACACAAUGUGAUUGGCAUAUAUCAAAUUAUUAAGCAGUAUCAUUAUUAUUGUACAUUUGUGUCUAGAGUUUUGUUAUUAUAAAUAGUGCCUUAAUGAGUUUCUUUCAGCAUUUGGCAUUUUCUUAUUUUUAGAUACUUUUUUUCAGUGUAAAUCUCUAGGAAUGGAGUUACUGUGUCAAAGAGAAAAAAGUAGUUUAUGACUGUUGAAGCAUUUACCCAAUUACCUUCCAACAGUGUUAUGCCAAUUCGUAAAAUAUAAAUGGAUCAUGUUCGCUAUUAACUUAUUAAUACUUCAUCUGUGAUCAUAUUUGACAUUUUUGAGAUGUUCGUUUUUAAUACAUCAAAAAAUGAGACUUUAUAUGUAUUCUUAUUAAAUUUUAUCCUCUUAGUUUUAACUGGUUAUUUCAAGCUGUCAAGAUGUCUUUGAAAUCGUAUUCUGUUAUUUGUCAUUAGUUGUCAUUCCCAACUUUGUGCCAGUUAUUAUUCCAAUAAGACACAGCUUUAGUGCUAUCAUCCCAGUAACUGCUAAAUCAUUGAUUAGAAAACAGUUCACUGUCAGACAUUUAGUUUACCCCUAAAGACCUUCUUUGAGGGUAAUAGUAAGCCAUUAAUCAGCCAAUGCUAGAUACUAUUGUUGAGCCAGUCUUCAUUUUGCCUAUGACUGAGUUAUGCCUUAGGUCUAUGUUAAUUAAAUCUAUUUCUCAUUAUUUGAACUCCAAAUGCCAAGAUAUGUACUAGGCAGUAGAGAGUCUGCCAGAUAUCUUGUCAGUAAGAUUCACUGGCAUUCUUGGACUUACCAAUUAAGUAACUUCAUUAGAAAGGGAAAUGUAUUUGAUAUGGCAUGAAUUGUUAUUAGUGGAUGUAUGUUGUCUUAACAGUGGAAGAGUUGAUUGCCCUGCCAGGGGAGUAUGGUGGCACUCUGCAAAGGAUUUAAGCAACAACAAAAAAAUAGGGAUGGGCAAGUAGGGUGGAACUGAAAAGUUGUUGCUUAAGCACGCACAAGAGGGGCUAAACAAGAAGUUCAUAAGCAUGGUGGACUAAUUGCAGGGAAAUUUAGGUCAGAAGUUGGAAGUAGAAAUGAAAGUGUUAUUCAAGAUGUUCAUGAACUUUGGACACUGAGUUUACCAGAGCAAAUGAUGCCAUUGGGAAGAAAAGAAAUAAAAAUGUACAGAUCCAAAAGUAGGAAAUAAACUGUCCCUAUCUGCAGACAAUAUAAUUGACUACAUAGGAAAUUUCAAGAAAUCUACAAGGAAACCUCCUAGAAAUAAUGAGUUUGAUAAAGCUGCUGGAUGCAAGUAAGCAAC